rnacentral:rRNA from 1 species
CACGUAGGGUGCGAGCGUUGUCCGGAAUUAUUGGGCGUAAAGAGCUCGUAGGCGGUCCGUCACGUCGGAUGUGAAAUUCCAGGGCUCAACCCUGGACCUGCAUUCGAUACGGGCGGACUAGAGUUCGGUAGGGGAGACUGGAAUUCCUGGUGUAGCGGUGAAAUGCGCAGAUAUCAGGAGGAACACCGGUGGCGAAGGCGGGUCUCUGGGCCGAUACUGGCGCUGAGGAGCGAAAGCGUGGGGAGCGAACAGG